rnacentral:tRNA from 1 species
GGGUCCUUAGCUCAGUUGGUAGAGCGCGUCGUUCGCAAUGACGAGGUCAGGGGUUCAAUUCCCCUAGGAUCCACAA